rnacentral:rRNA from 1 species
GACGAACGUUGGCGGCGUGCCUAAUACAUGCAAGUCAACUGAAAUACCGGUAGCAAUACUGGUAUGGAGGUGGCGCACGGGUGAGUAACACGUAGGUAAUCUGCCUUCAGGUCUGACAUAACCCAUCGAAAGGUGAGCUAAUAUCAGAUGAUGCAGCGGCUUGACAUCAAGACAGUUGUUAAAGCUUCGGCGCCUGAAGAUGAGCCUGCGUCUGAUUAGCUAGUUGGCGGGGUAACGGCCCACCAAGGCUGCGAUCAGUAGCUGGUCUGAGAGGAUGAUCAGUCACACUGGAACUGAGACACGGUCCAGACUCCUACGGGAGGCAGCAGUAAGGAAUAUUGCUCAAUGGCCGAAAGGCUGAAGCAGCAACGCCGCGUGAGGGAU